CUGCAUGGCUGUCGUCAGCUCGUGUCGUGAGAUGUUGGGUUAAGUCCCGCAACGAGCGCAACCCUUGCCUUUAGUUGCCAGCAGUUCGGCUGGCACUCUAAAGGGACUGCCGGUGUUAAACCGGAGGAAGGUGGGGGAUGACGUCAAGUCCUCAUGGCCUUUAUGACCAGGGCUACACACGUACUACAAUGGCCGAUACAAAGGGCAGCGACACUGCGAGGUGAAGCCAAUCCCGUAAAAUCGGUCUCAGUCCGGAUUGGAGUCUGCAACUCGACUCCAUGAAGUUGGAAUCGCUAGUAAUCGUGGAUCAGCAUGACACGGUGAAUACGUUCCCGGGCCUU
rnacentral:rRNA from 1 species